rnacentral:rRNA from 1 species
UACGUAGGCAGCGAGCGUUGUUCGGAGUUACUGGGCGUAAAGGGUGUGUAGGCGGUUCUUAAGUUUGGUGUGAAAUCUCCCGGCUCAACCGGGAGGGUGCGCCGAAUACUGAGGGACUAGAGUGCGGGAGAGGAAAGUGGAAUUCCUGGUGUAGCGGUGAAAUGCGUAGAGAUCGGGAGGAACACCAGUGGCGAAGGCGGCCUUCUGGACCAGCACUGACACUCAAGCACGAAAGCGUGGGGAGCAAACAGG